AACUGUAUAUGUCAAUGACAUAGGAAAUAUAUUAAAAAAAAUUGAAUAUACAGAAAAUAGCAUUAUAAGAAAUGUAUUUAUUGAACAUGAUGUUAUAAAACAAAGUGAGUUUUAUUUUUAUCAAGUUAGAAAUAAGCGAAUAGAAUUAGAUAAAACUUUUAAAGAUUAUAAAAUCAAGCCAAAUGACAUUAUAUAUAUUUUACCUGUCCCACCUCCACUUACUUAUAUAAUUUAUUUAUUGCACCAAGCUACUGGAAAUGUUAAUUACUUCGAAUUAAACCAUAUGGAUACGGUAGACUUGCUACAAGGACAAGUUGAAAAAGAAAUGAAGAUAAAACAAAAAGAUCAAAUACUUAUCUACAAUGGAAAGUGUUUAAAUAAAAAAAAAACAUUAAAAGAAGAAAACUUAGACAGAGAGUCACUUGUUACGGUUUUAGAUAUAAA